UUUUGUGUGUGUUAUUUGAUGAUGUCCGAAUUAUGUGUUAAAGAACAUACCUGAUUGUUUAUGAUAACUUAGGUUAAAGAAUAAACCUAAGGUUUGUUAUAAUGGUUAUGGGGUAGUAUCUCUUUAUGAGUACGAGUGAGAUAUAUACGGAUAAUAGAACUUUAAAAUAUGUCAUUGAUCCGGCAGCAUGGAUUAGACAUAGUUAUUCGUCCCUAGUCCGAGAGUAUGGAUUGGACUUAGUUAAUUGUGAUUAAUCCGGAAGUAUGGAUUAAGACAUAGUCAGUUGUCCUUAGUCCAGGAGUAUGGACAGGACAUAGAAUCUGUCAUUAGUCCGGGAGUAUGGAUUUAGACAUAGACCAAUUAUCUCUCAUCUGAGAGUAUGGAAUGGGCACAAUCACGGACUCGAGAAUAUGGAUUAGAUCCAGGAGUAAGAGUUAAAAUUUAAGGUGAUUAAUCCGGAAGUAUGGAUUAAGACAUAGUCAGUUGUCCUUAGUCCAGGAG
rnacentral:lncRNA from 1 species